GCUCCCGUAGUGUAGUGGCCAAUCAUGUUGGCCUUUCGAGUCAACGACCCGGGUUCAAAUCCCGGCGGGAGCAC
rnacentral:tRNA from 1 species